GUGAGGAAUUUUCCGCAAUGGGCGAAAGCCUGACGGAGCAAUGCCGCGUGAAGGAUGAAGGCCUAUGGGUUGUAAACUUCUUUUCUUGGAGAAGAAUAUUGACGGUAUCUGAGGAAUAAGCAUCGGCUAACUCUGUGCCAGCAGCCGCGGUAAGACAGAGGAUGCAAGCGUUAUCCGGAAUGAUUGGGCGUAAAGCGUCUGUAGGUGGCUUCAAAAGUCUCCUGUCAAAGAUCAGGGCUUAACCCUGGGCCGGCAGGAGAAACUCUGAGGCUAGAGUUUGGUAGGGGCAGAGGGAAUUCCCGGUGGAGCGGUGAAAUGCGUAGAGAUCGGGAGGAACACCAAAGGCGAAAGCACUCUGCUGGGCCACAACUGACACUGAGAGACGAAAGCGAGGGGAGCAAAAGGGAUUAGAUACCCCGGUAGUCC
rnacentral:rRNA from 1 species